rnacentral:rRNA from 1 species
AUGGAAGCUACCACAAUCAGACAAUUACUUCUCUUGGUGUUGGUGGCUUGCAGUGCACAUGUGGUUGUUUGCGGCUCCUCCUCCUUAGAUGGAAACGAGACAGAUCGAUUGUCACUGCUUGGAUUCAAGGAUGCAAUCAGUCUCGAUCCACAACAAGCUUUACUGUCCUGGAACGACACCACCCACUUUUGCAACUGGAAGGGUGUCCUGUGUAGGGUGAAGGCUCCACAUCGUGUCACUUCUCUAAACCUUACAAGUCUAGGUUUGGUAGGAAAGAUAUCUCCUUCACUUGGGAACCUAACAUUCAUACGGUCCCUAGCCCUCACUGAAAACACAUUCACCGGAGAGAUCCCAUCCUCCCUCGGUCACCUGCGUCGCCUCCAAACCCUCCUCUUGAAUAAUAACACUCUGCAAGGACGGAUGCCGAGUUUUGCAAACUGCUCAAAGCUCAAGGUUUCAGGUAAUAACAUUACUGGCACCAUCCCAGCUUCUCUUGCCAAUAUCACAACUCUAACCAUGAUUAGCUGUGCGGAUAACCACAUCAAGGGAAACAUCCCAAGUGAGUUUGCCGAUUUGUCCAGCUUGGAGCACCUAUAUGUGGGUGGCAAUCAGCUAGCAGGUAGGUUUCCACAAGCCAUCUUGAAUCUUUCUACCCUCAUCGGCCUUGACCUUGGUCCCAAUGGUCUAAGUGGAGUGGUACCACCAAAUAUCUAUACCGCUCUCCACAAUCUACAAAUACUUGUAUUAUUUGGCAACUUUUUUCUAGGGCACAUUCCUAGUUCAUUCACUAAUGCUUCCAAUCUACACCUGAUCGAUUUGUCACAUAACAACUUCACCGGAUUGGUGCCCACCACGACUGGCAAACUUACCAAACUCUCAUAUUUAAAUCUUGAACAUAAUCAACUCCGGGCAGAUAGUAGGCAAGAUUGGAAGUUUUUGGAUAACUUAGGCAACUGCACAAAGCUACAAAUGCUCUCCUUGAGUAACAAUCGUCUAUCAGGGCAUGUACCAAGUUCUAUAGGUAACCUUUCCAAUCAACUCCAACAGUUAUACUUGGCAAAAAAUGAACUAUCAGGAAAUUUCCCUUCUGGCAUAACAAACCUUAGCAACCUGAUUAUUAUAUCAUUGGGGGCGAAUCACCUCACAGGUGUGGUUCCGGAUAUGAUUGGGACUCUUAAAACUCUGCAACUAUUAGCCUUAUGCAAAAAUUUGUUUACGGGGGUCAUUCCAUCAUCGUUGUCAAACUUGCCUCGAUUGGGAGGGCUCUAUCUAUACUCAAAUCAAUUCAUUGGCCACAUACCAUCAAGCUUUGGAAACUUUCCAAUGCUUCAAUAUUUGGACAUUUCCAACAACAAUCUUCAUGGCAGGGUUCCAAUGGGGAUCUUCAAAAUCCCAUCAAUAAUUGGAAUUAAUUUAUCAUUCAACAACCUCAGUGAACAACUUCCAACCGACAUUGGCAGUGCCAAACAACUCGUACAAUUGGGACUUUCAUCAAAUAAGCUAUUUGGAGAUAUUCCAAACACUCUAGGUGAUUGUGAAAGUUUAGAAAACAUUGAGUUAGACUCAAAUAUUUUCAGUGGAAGCAUUCCCACUUCAUUAGGCAACAUAAGCAACCUCAAAGUUCUGAAUAUUUCUGCCAAUAACAUAACUGGGUCAAUUCCAACAUCUCUAGGCAACCUACAGCUUCUUGAGAAACUAGAUUUGUCAUUCAACCAUCUUAAUGGUGAGGUUCCAACAAAAGGGAUCUUCAGGAAUGCGACUGCUGUGCGGAUUGAUGGAAAUCAGGGGCUUUGUGGUGGGAUACCGGAGUUACACAUGGUGGCAUGUUUUGUUAUUCCUUCAAAUUCAAAUAGGCACGAUGAAAAUUUGGUGCUCAAAGUAGUUAUCCCAAUAGCGAGUAUGGUGUCACUUGCUAUGGUCAUACUUGGCUUAUCGCUCUGGAAAAGAAAACACAAGUGCAAAUCUAUAGCUCUGCCAUCAUUUGCUGCAAAAUUUCCCAAAGUUUCUUUCAAUGAUCUAGCCAGAGCAACACAGGGAUUCUCAACAUCCAACUUAAUUGGCAGAGGGAGAUACAGUUCUGUAUACCAAGGAAAACUAGUGGAGGCCGAAAAUGAGGUGGCAGUAAAAGUCUUCAACCUAGAGACAGGAGGAGCACAAAAGAGCUUCAUUGCAGAAUGUAAUGCACUGAGAAAUGUGCGGCACCGUAAUCUGGUCCCUAUCCUAACUGCGUGCUCAAGCAUUGAUUCUAAUGGUAAUGAUUUCAAGGCCCUAGUGUAUGAGCUCAUGCCACAAGGAGACUUACAUAAACUACUAUACUCAACUCAAGAUCGUGAAAGCUCUUCAGAUUUGAAAUUUAUUACAUUGGCUCAAAGGAUAAGCAUUGUGGUGGAUGUAGCAGAUGCAAUGGCGUACCUCCACCACAACAACCAAGGAACAAUUAUUCAUUGUGAUCUAAAGCCUAGCAACAUUCUUUUGGAUGACAAUAUGACAGCUCAUGUCGGAGACUUUGGCCUGGCAAGAUUCAAAGCUAGUUCCACAAUGCCGUCUCUUGGUAACUCAAGCUCUUCUCUCGGUGCACUAAUGGGAACUAUCGGAUACGCUGCUCCAGAAUAUGCAGGGGGUGGUCAAGUUUCAACUGCCGGAGAUGUUUACAGCUUCGGUGUCGUUCUCCUCAAGAUAUUCAUUCGGAGAAGGCCAACUGAUGACACGUUUAAGGAUGGGCUGAGCAUUGUGAAGCUUACAGAGAUCAGCUUCCCUGGUAGGGUAUUGGAGAUUGUCGAUCCCGAGCUGCUACAGGAGUUGGAGCCUUGCCAAGAAACUCCAGUGGCCAUGAAGGAAGAUGGUAUGCACACUUUGCUAUCUAUGCUAAACGUUGGUCUUUGCUGCACCAAGCAAACUCCGGGUGAACGAAUCAACAUGCAGGAGGUGGCUGCCAAGUUACAUCGAAUCAGGGAUGAUUAG